GAUGAACGCUAGCGGCAGGCUUAAUACAUGCAAGUCGUGGGGCAGCAUGAAUGUGGCAAUACAUUUGAUGGCGACCGGCAAACGGGUGCGGAACACGUACACAACCUUCCUAUAAGUGGGGAAUAGCCCAGAGAAAUUUGGAUUAAUACCCCGUAACAUAACGAUGUGGCAUCACAUUGUUAUUAUAGCUUCGGCGCUUAUUGAUGGGUGUGCGGCUGAUUAGAUAGUUGGCGGGGUAACGGCCCACCAAGUCUACGAUCAGUAGCUGAUGUGAGAGCAUGAUCAGCCACACGGGAACUGAGACACGGGCCCGACUCCUACGGGAGGCAGCAGUAAGGAAUAUUGGUCAAUGGACGCAAGUCUGAACCAGCCAUGCCGCGUGAAGGAUUAAGGUCCUCUGGAUUGUAAACUUCUUUUAUCUGGGACGAAAAAAGGCUUUUCUAACUCACUUGACGGUACCAGAUGAAUAAGCACCGGCUAACUCCGUGCCAGCAGCCGCGGUAACAC
rnacentral:rRNA from 1 species